rnacentral:rRNA from 1 species
UACGUAGGGGGCAAGCGUUGUCCGGAUUCAUUGGGCGUAAAGAGCUCGUAGGCGGUUCAGCAAGUCGGGUGUGAAACCUCCAGGCUCAACCUGGAGACGCCACCCGAUACUGCUGUGACUUGAGUCCGGUAGGGGACCACGGAAUUCCUGGUGUAGCGGUGAAAUGCGCAGAUAUCAGGAAGAACACCCGUGGCGAAGGCGGCUCUCUGGGACGGUACUGACGCUGAGACGCGAAAGCGUGGGGAGCGAACAGG